CCGCGAAUAGCUCAUUACAACAGCCGUUGUUUAUUAGAUCUUAUAUCCUACUUGGAUAACUGUGGUAAUUCUAGAGCUAAUACAUGCAACAAAACCCAGACCUUCCGGAAUGGGUGCACUUAUUAGACUAAAACCAAUCGGGCUUCGGCUCGUCCAAUGGUGAAUCUGAAUAACUACGCUGAUCGCAUGGUCUUUGCACCAGCGAUAGAUCUUUCAAAUGUCUGUCCUAUCAACUUUCGAUGGUAGUUUACACGCCUACCAUGGUUGUAACGGGUAACGGAGAA
rnacentral:rRNA from 1 species